UACGGGGGGGGCAAGCGUUGUUCGGAAUUACUGGGCGUAAAGGGCUCGUAGGCGGCCAACUAAGUCGGAUGUGAAAUCCCCAGGCUCAACUUGGGAACUGCAUCCGAUACUGGAUGGCUUGAAUUCGGGAGAGGGAUGCAGAAUUCCAGGUGUAGCGGUGAAAUGCGUAGAGAUCCGGAAGAACACCGGUGGCGAAGGCGGCCUGCUGGGCAGUGGCUGACACUGAGGCGCGACAGCGUGGGGAGCAAACAGG
rnacentral:rRNA from 1 species